UACAGAGGUCUCAAGCGUUGUUCGGAUUCAUUGGGCGUAAAGGGUGCGUAGGUGGCUGCGUAAGUCGGGUGUGAAAUCCCGGGGGCUCAACCCCGGAACUGCACUCGAUACUGCGUGGCUUGAGUACUGGAGAGGAGAUUGGAAUUUACGGUGUAGCAGUUGAAAAUGCGUAGAUAUCGUAAGGAAGACCAGUGGCGAAAGGCGAAUCUCUGGACAGUUACUGACACUGAGGCACGAAGGCCAGGGGAGCAAACCGGGG
rnacentral:rRNA from 1 species